UACGGGGGGGGCAAGCGUUGUUCGGAAUUACUGGGCGUAAAGGGCGCGUAGGCGGCCUUCUAAGUCGAACGUGAAAUCCCCGGGCUCAACCCGGGAACUGCGUCCGAUACUGGGAGGCUUGAAUCCGGGAGAGGGAUGUGGAAUUCCAGGUGUAGCGGUGAAAUGCGUAGAUAUCUGGAGGAACACCUGUGGCGAAGGCGGCUUUCUGGGCCUUACCUGACGCUGAGACGCGAAAGCGUGGGGAGCGAACCGG
rnacentral:rRNA from 1 species